AGUGAACGCUGGCGGUAGGCCUAACACAUGCAAGUCGAACGGCAGCACAGUAAGAGCUUGCUCUUACGGGUGGCGAGUGGCGGACGGGUGAGGAAUAAAUCGGAAUCUACUUUUGCGUGGGGGAUAACGUAGGGAAACUUACGCUAAUACCGCAUACGACCUACGGGUGAAAGCAGGGGAUCUUCGGACCUUGCGCGAUUGAAUGAGCCGAUGUCGGAUUAGCUAGUUGGCGGGGUAAAGGCCCACCAAGGCGACGAUCCGUAGCUGGUCUGAGAGGAUGAUCAGCCACACUGGAACUGAGACACGGUCCAGACUCCUACGGGAGGCAGCAGUGGGGAAUAUUGGACAAUGGGCGCAAGCCUGAUCCAGCCAUACCGCGUGGGUGAAGAAGGCCUUCGGGUUGUAAAGCCCUUUUGUUGGGAAAGAAAAGCAGCAGGUUAAUACCCCGCUGUUCUGACGGUACCCAAAGGAUAAGCACCGGCUAACUUCGUG
rnacentral:rRNA from 1 species